GACGAACGCUGGCGGCGUGCUUAACACAUGCAAGUCGAACGGAAAGGCCCUGCUUUUGUGGGGUGCUCGAGUGGCGAACAGGUGAGUAACACGUGAGUAACCUGCCCUUGACUUUGGGAUAACUUCAGGAAACUGGGGCUAAUACCGGAUAGGAGCUCCUGCUGCAUGGUGGGGGUUGGAAAGUUUCGGCGGUUGGGGAUGGACUCGCGGCUUAUCAGCUUGUUGGUGGGGUAGUGGCUUACCAAGGCUUUGACGGGUAGCCCGCCUGAGAGGGUGACCGGCGACAUUGGGACUGAGAUACGGCCCAGACUCCUACGGGAGGCAGCAGUGGGGAAUAUUGCACAAUGGGCGGAAGCCUGAUGCAGCAACGCCGCGUGCGGGAUGACGGCCUUCGGGUUGUAAACCGCUUUCGCCUGUGACGAAGCGUGAGUGACGGUAAUGGGUAAAGAAGCACCGGCUAACUACGUG
rnacentral:rRNA from 1 species